rnacentral:hammerhead_ribozyme from 1 species
AUCCAGCUGACGAGUCCCAAAUAAAUGAAACACGUGUCUUAGAU